rnacentral:piRNA from 1 species
UCCCUUCUUUGCAGGGUUCUCCUCUCA